GUGGAUGUCCCAUUAUAGGUAUUUGUUCGGUGCUGCUGUCGUCAUUGAGAGUACCGAGAACGAUGUCAGCCUCGAGCAUCAUGAUGUCGGCUUUAAAAGUAAAGAUUCAGGUAACAGUGUAUACGAAUUGAAAAGAAGAUCGUAGUCAAGUAGAAAAAUGUCAUGAACUUCACUUUUAAACGGACAUUCGGUUUCGAUGUACAAGCAGAAUCGAUGGAGAUUUUUAUUCACAAAAAUAGAAGCAAAAGUGAGUUUCCUGUAUGGGUUAGUUCGAUACUGCUAAUAUUAUAUUGCAUUAGUCCAUUUAACCAUCCGGGGUUUCUGACAUAACCCCAAGCUACGAUUCAAAGACCUAAUUACUAAUCAGAUAUAAAUCUUCCUUUGAGAAUGUGGAAAGCAAUGAAGUGGAUUACAAUUAUAUAUAUAACACAGUCA